UUUCUUUUCUUUUCUUUUUGUUUCUAGCAAAUGUUCUUUAUGCAGCCGCUUAUACCUUGUCUACAAAUCGCUGAAGCUCAAGGCGCAUAUGCAAUGUAUUUAUGCAUCAGGAACUGAAGAGCGUGACCUUGUUCGGCCCGCUGCCAAACUUUAGUUCGAUCGCAAGGCCAGAGGGAGAACGUCGAGCCACUUUCCUGGUGUGCAAGAUCAGCCUCAGCGCACCCGCGUCCCUGCAAAGUACCCGCUUCUAACGGCCAGCAGCGAUCAUCGUAGCCGCAUGCCAAGACUUUGUCGAGAAGAACUGUGCCGCGGCCAAUGAGGUUAUCGUAGAGCGAGUGGUCGUUCCGAACCUCCACACUGAUCUCCUGGCACCCCGCGAUCACUAACGCCACG